AUUUUAAUAGGCAAAUAGCGUUUGAGAUAUAGGCCUAGCAAUAUUAGCAAACAAAUACACUGAAAUCUUGGUUAGCACACCAACUUUUGCCACUUUUAAUGCAAUAUUAGUCAACUUAUAAGAGAACGUGAGACAAAUCAUGCUGAAUUAUUCGACUAUAUAACUCCUAAGACAGACGCAAUAAUCCUUUAUAGGUUUAUUACAAAUAUGUAGACAUUUGAGACGCCGUCAAUGUCUGAAGAAAUGUAUACUUAAAGCCUUUAAAUAAACGAGUUCGAUGUACAGUUUCUGGUCUUUUACCAUAAUUAUCCAAUGCUGGUUUUAUUCGCUGCAUUAUAAACGUACCUCCUCCAAACAAUACCCUUCUUUAAAAUACCAAACAUUUCGAAUGCAAUUGAGAUAUGAAAUCUCAACAAGAAGACAAUUCAAGAUGGCAAAUGGCCCGCAAAUCAGUCAAAAGUGCAAAUCAAAACCCAUAUUUACACGGCGAGUACGCGCAAUUUCUGAUCGGUUUCGACACCAUAGGUUGAAGCCAUGAAGAUAAACUUUAUUUUAAUUUUCUGGUUUAACAACCUCACCAGUACUGCGUCGUAACAAACUAACAACAUCACUAGUAUUGCCUCGAAAUGCAAAUGUGAAAUGUCGGCAGAAAAAUACGGGCGCUUCCGAUUGCUCCCGAUACUUCACGAAAAUCCGGACUGGACACCAUGAUCAUCAUCGCUCAUCGCGUUUGUGUACUAUGUGAUAAUGGCUAGCCCGCAAACGGGCUAGCCACAAAAAUUUUUCACAGAAGGAACACAUGAAUCCAUCGAUCAAUCGUGUUUACUGUCGGACAAAUUAUUUUUGUCCUUGUAGCCUACUGGUAGGUGGUCUACCGGUAAGGCGUAGGUCCGUAUCUCAGAUUUUCCAAAGUUUCUGAUUAGGAUGGAUUGAACAUCCGAAGCCUUUAUACUGAAGAUACGACCGGGCGAACAUGUGGCUACAAGUCGAGUCUUAUUGUCACUUGUCUCGCAUUGAAAAAAAAUAAUGAAAUUCAUACUAUGUCUAUGCAAUUUGCGAUUGCAUCACUAAAAUCGAUAUAGUAUAUCCAUACUAUUUUCAUACUAUGGAAACAGAUGGAUACAUAAAAUUUUUUUUUU